CAGGAUCCCUGGACACAGCCAGAGCUGACAGAGGCCUCUCAGUAAUGGCAUCUUGUCUACUCACGAGGAAAGGCUGGAGGUGACUGCGUAUCAAGUGCAGAAUCCUCGCAAAACCAAGCUCGGACUCCUGCUUGCCCAGAGCUCUCUGCAGGGAGCUCUCCUGGGAGCUGCUCCUCCCAGCAGGUUGGAGAACCAGGGAAUCAGAAGGUGUCAUUCAGUCCAAAGGCUGAUCAGGUUUUCAAGGCCCGGAGAGUAGAAGAUGGAGGUCUUAGAUCAGGAAGACAGCAAGAAGUCCCCCGCUCUUCUGCCUCGGUGU